UACGUAGGUGGCGAGCGUUGUCCGGAUUUACUGGGUGUAAAGGGCGAGUAGGCGGGGAUUCAAGUCAGAUGUGAAAUACCGAGGCUUAACUUCGGAGCUGCAUUUGAAACUGGAUUUCUUGAGUGAUGGAGAGGCAGGCGGAAUUCCCGGUGUAGCGGUGAAAUGCAUAGAGAUCGGGAGGAACACCAGUGGCGAAGGCGGCCUGCUGGACAUUAACUGACGCUGAGGCGCGAAAGUGUGGGGAG
rnacentral:rRNA from 1 species